rnacentral:lncRNA from 1 species
GAAAGUUCAUGGUCUUUUGGAGUCCAAUCAAAUGGUUAAUGUAAAUCCAAUUAUGUAAAACAUGAUAAGGAGUAAAUCAUAAAAAAAUUGAGAUGGCAGGGAUAUGGUGUAUUACUUUUCUAUAGAGCGCGAACUUUGCUUUCCUCAAGAUACGCUUCCCUUUGAUUUUGCAAUUCGGUUUCCUGAGAAACUAAUUUUUGAGUGGGAAACACAUUUGCUG